UGCAACUGGUGAGUUUUUUUGAGAGAUAGGUAGCACGCUACCCGCUUCAUUUAUUUCAUUUAUAAAUAAACUUAGCUGAAAAUGUGAAUCAACUAGGAUUCGAACUUAGGACCUCAAAUACCAACCACCAAGCCUUUUGUCACUUGCUCUAGGAACAGUUGGUCUUGAGAGAGCUUUUAUGUUGGUUCAUGUGAGUUUUGUUUUUUCCAA
rnacentral:lncRNA from 1 species